CAGAGGUACCAAUUAUAUAGUUUUAUAUGAUAAUUAUAUUAUAUAUACAUAGUUGAAUUGCAAUCUCUGCCAAAUGAUGAAGUGCUAAAUUUGGACACUGUUAUUAAUUAAACCCAUGGAAACAAUAGAAAAGGAGUUUUUCAACAACAAUUUAUAACAAAUAAUUUGCUGUAGAAACAUUUAUAUUGCAAAUUAUUUAUUUUAUGGUACACUAAACUUUAUGAAUGUAGCGGUACAUGUCGACAAAAGUCAUCAUGGUUUUUGCCCAGCAAAUCCGCUACACAAGAAACCGUGUUUACUCAAACACGAGCUAAUUAUAGAUAUAUCGACCUUAGGCGGUUCCGAUCAUUAGGCCAAAUCCGUCGUUUUUGCCGUGACCAUAGGCUCGUGAGUCAGCUACCCAAAAAACCAACAAUUGUAAACAGGUCGCGAGCUCGGCGCCCGUUGGGACGUUUCGAGAACAUUCUCGAAAUUCAAAUCCCAACACUUGUCGUCAACUCCGGCGGAUAUAAAUAUAGCGGACAGGGUAGCGACGCAUCCUUAGUUACCGAGAGAUUCGAGCAGCGACAUUUAACCGAUACUUCUUUGCGCCGAUCGAUUAGCGACAGCGAAACGAAACAGCAAGUAUAUUGUACGACUAGUGUAAGCAUCGGGUAUAUUCUAAUAAACUACGUAGUUAGGAUUGAUCUGUCUCGUUACCUUUAUAUGUGGAUAUAAAUUAAAAUGUUUUACAUAAUCCGAAAGGUAUUCUCGAAUUACGCUAUGAUGAACAAAUGAUGGCCCUUCGUCAUGUGUCAUUGGAAAAUCAGGUCGCUAAAUGUAAGAUCAUUCAUGCAGAAAUCAACACCGAAGACCCGGAGUAUUGCGUAAAGGAUGUGAACAAGCAUUGAAGUUAAUAAGCUGAAGUAGCAGAAGACUGUCAAUGAGAUCAUUGAUAAUUUUGCAUAAAAAAAUAAUAUCAGCAAUCUUCCUCCAGUAUCAGCAUAUUCAUUUUCUGGAGUACUGACACGUAGUUAUGAUAACGAUUGUGGAUUAAACAAUCACAGUAUAAAAGUAUCACAACUAUGUGUGAGUACUGCAUUUUACUGUAUUUAUAAAUAAUCAUUGACGCCUGAUGUAAGUUUAUCACAGCAGGAAUUUAUACUGUGUUUUUAUAAUAAGCUGAAUGUGUAUAUCUGCUUUAAUGAAGAACUUGAUCGUAUGAUACCGACAUAUUUUAAGUAAGAUAUGACCAAACAAUUAUACAGGAUUUUUAAAGCGUAGGGAUUUCUGAAAUCCCUAGAAAAUCGAAAGAUAAAUCCAAAUUCAUUCGUCUUGUCGGUAAUGUUAAUGAUAUGCUUGGUAAAACAGUCGCUCGUUAUAGAGAAAGCCUAGGUGGCGCUCAUUAUUUACCAGAAGAUAGGUAAGAACCGUCAAGAAUGUAAGCAUAACAGAAUUCUUCUCAUAUUUAAGAAACAUUCUCAUCAUUUGGUACUUGGGUAUGUUUACGUAUAAUUUGUUACAAGCCUAUCAUCUUCAUAACCUAUUAGAGUCUUUUCGUAAUAAGUUCUAUAUUCCAUACAUAUUGACGAAGAAUGUAUCUAAUUAUGAUAAAACAAAAAUCAUGAAGAUUGUACACGUGUAAUUACAAAUGACCUAUAUAUGUACGUACUAUCGUAUGUUAUCAAAUUUUAUAUGCGCAAUACACAUCUUCCUUAACCUUUAACAAUCAUCAAAAUGUACAGAUAUUAAUCAUUACGAAUGUAUAUGUGAGUCAUAACUUUCGUAAGAAGGAACUUUCCUAUGGAAAUUAAAAUCGCCGCAUUCUACAAGAGAAUAUCUAUAAUAUGUAAACGAUAAUGGUACGUAGAUCAAGUUGUACAAAAAAAUUUAUUGAAACCAGAGUAAUCACAAUUUUGAAAAGUAAAAGACGAGAAGAUAAAUAUAUAUAUGAAUUUCAUUUUAGAUAAAAAUUAAUUGUUUAAAGUAAAAAUAAAAAUACAGAAUACAGACAUAAAAAUAGUAAGAUGUAAUUAUUCAUAAACAAAUUUUUCUCUGACAUAUUCAUUGCAUCAGCACUGUGUCGUUCGAGCUAGCAGGUAAUUUUAUGAUAUGCGUAUGAUAUCAAUACAAAUAUUAUCGAUAUAAUACGUAAAUUACAAAUCACGAAAUUUUGAAGGACGUUUUUGUGAUAAUUUAUAAAUAAAACAUAUACAUUUUUAUAAUACAGAAGUAAAAUUUACGCGAAGAUCAUUUGUUAAUAUUUGCAAACAAGAAUUUCAUCGAAACUCUAAAGGAGAAAAUCAUGAAAUUCUGCAUUAAGACAAAAAUUUGAAACAUUUGCUUUCGAAUAUCAUGCGUUAUAGCUAUUUACUUAUUUUAUAUCAACUAAUUGAAAUAAAUACAAAAAUAUUUCCUUUUCCUAUUCUUAUCCUAUCAGUACAUAGUAAAUAGUACAGUACAUAAUACGUUAUGACAUAUGUUUUUAAUUGGCAUUAACACAUUACAUUGAUUACAGCAUAAAUGAUAACAAAAAUUCGAUUGACAGUGAUUGGCAGUGACUUGUUCUUUUUAAUGCAGAGUUUGUUUUCAAGUAUUGUACAAAAUACAGAAAUCAAUUAUUUAACCAAUUUAUUUAUUAUUCUCUAUAAUUAAGGGGUUAAAUAUCAAGUAAAAUUAAUACUUUAUACGAUUGAAAUCUUAGAAUAGCUGUAAAAUAUUCUUCUAACGAAUUGUCUGCAUAAUCGUGAAGUAAUUAUUCUAGUAACUGUUCGUUAACUCUAAACUUAAAGAUGACCUAUCGAUUCAUUAAGUCUGAAUCAUGGUGCAACAUCUUUUAUAGUUUUAUAGUUACGUUUAGGUUAAGUAUUACCCUAAACGGAAUUAACUGAAAGGAACGACUAUUCGCGAUAAUAGCAAAAUCAAUGAAAUAAUAUAACCAAAGGAACAUCAGUAGAAAACUGCUUUAUUGGGUUGUGAACUUUCUCGAUUGUAAUUCUAACCUCUAAUGUUAUCUUCAGAAAUGUAUCCUCUAGGUUCCCUAUGUAUUUCAUAACAUUCAUGUUUUGUUUGUUAUACAAAUACCUAUUAUUAUACUACUUUUCUAAAAUUUACUAUUUAUUGUAUUAACAUAGACACUAAUUUACUUAAUUUAAUUUUCAAUCAUUUCCAGUUUGUCAUUUUCUCUAUGCCAAGGGUUCUUAAUUUUUUCACAAAUACAGGCCACAAAAACCAAAAUUGCAGUAUUUCAGUACCAAGCAGAGAAACAUAUUUUCUUACCAAAGCGAUUGUCUCAUUACUAUGUCAAGAAGUGUAUCGCGUGUCAGCAAAGUUUAUCGCAACCAGCUAGACUGUCUAGAACCAUUAUUACUGUAUAAAUGGCGUAAAAACAAAUACGAUCGAUGAUCCUGUGUUUGCAUCGCUGAUCGAAUAACCCAAAUUGUGGACGGUAUUUGGUUUACAUUCGAAUUCAAUUCCGAAAUUAUUGUAUUUUGUCAUUUGACCUAUUCCACCGUGACGGAUUAUCCCAUUCAAAUGGAAUUUUAUCAGUAUCGUAUAAUAUAGUAGCAUGAUAUAGUAUAUUGUCUCAUAGUAUAGUACAAAUAAUAUCAUUUUGGAAAUCAUUUUGUGUAAAAGCAAUUAUUCCAAUUUCUAUCAGUAAAUUCUAAGUAUUUUUUACUCUUAUCUUAGAUAAGAUAUUUUUCAAUGCUAAUUAUGCAAGCAACGUGAUUUACAAUGUAUUGUAAUGAGUGUAGAAACAAUAAAUAUUCGUUACUAUUAGAUUAAAAAAUAUAACGAUUAUUCGAUAAUUUGUUUUAUUAUAACUGCACUAGUCACUUCUUUAUUUUUGUUUCUCUCGCUUCUAUUGUGUUUUAUGCAUUAUUAAUUACAUCUUGUUUUAUGUUCAU